rnacentral:lncRNA from 1 species
CGUAGAGAAUUUAUUAGUAAACAUUCUAAGCUCAAAGCGAAAGUACAAAAAAUCAAAACAGCCACAAUGAAAUUCUUGAUUGUAUUCGUUCUUGCCGCCUGCUUCUUGUGCUUGGCUUAUGCUCAAAAUAUCGAUGCCAUCAGAGAACAGAUUAUUGCUCAAUAUGAACGCUUUGCCCGGUCAAUCCAUCCGUUAUCCCGAGGAGCAGGCUCACGUGAUCAAUGAUCCCGCACACAUCAAUGUUAACUUCUAAGCACUUGUUAUCUUGUUUUACUGUCAACAAAGUUUUUUACUCUUACCCCCCUUGUGAAUAAUCAAAUGCCAUGCAUUUUUACUGUAGUUUUGUUUUUAAAUAAAUAUUAAGUUUUGAAUGUGAAAUACCUACCAUA